rnacentral:rRNA from 1 species
GAUGAACGCUGGCGGCGUGCCUAAUACAUGCAAGUCGAGCGAACAGACGAGGAGCUUGCUCCUCUGACGUUAGCGGCGGACGGGUGAGUAACACGUGAAUAACCUACCUAUAAGACUGGGAUAACUUCGGGAAACCGGAGCUAAUACCGGAUAAUAUAUUGAACCGCAUGGUUCAAUAGUGAAAGACGGUUUUGCUGUGACGUAUAGAUGGAGCCGCGCCGCAUUAGCGAGUUGGUAAGGUAAAGGCUUACCAAGGCAACGAUGCGUAGCCGACCUGAGAGGGUGAUCGGCCACACUGGAACUGAGACACGGUCCAGACUCCUACGGGAGGCAGCAGUAGGGAAUCUUCCGCAAUGGGCGAAAGCCUGACGGAGCAACGCCGCGUGAGUGAUGAGGGUCUUCGGAUCGUAAAACUCUGUAUUAGGGAAGAACAAAUGUGUAAGUAACUAUGCACGUCUUGACGGUACCUAAUCAGAAAGCCACGGCUAACUACGUGCCAGCCGCCGCAGUAA